rnacentral:rRNA from 1 species
GAUUCCUACGGGAGGCAGCAGUGGGGAAUAUUGCACAAUGGGCGCAAGCCUGAUGCAGCAACGCCGCGUGAGGGACGAAGGCCUUCGGGUUGUAAACCUCUUUUAGUAGGGAAGAAGCGACUGGGUUUUCCUGGGAGUGACGGUACCUGCAGAAAAAGCACCGGCUAACUACGUGCCAGCAGCCGCGGUAAUACGUAGGGUGCAAGCGUUGUCCGGAAUUAUUGGGCGUAAAGAGCUCGUAGGCGGUUUGUCGCGUCUGCUGUGAAAACCCGAGGCUCAACCUCGGGCCUGCAGUGGGUACGGGCAGACUGGAGUGCGGUAGGGGAGAUUGGAAUUCCUGGUGUAGCGGUGGAAUGCGCAGAUAUCAGGAGGAACACCAAUGGCGAAGGCAGAUCUCUGGGCCGUAACUGACGCUGAGGAGCGAAAGCAUGGGGAGCGAACAGGAUUAGAUACCCUGGUAGUCCAUGCCGUAAACGUUGGGAACUAGAUGUGGGGACCAUUCCACGGUCUCCGUGUCGCAGCUAACGCAUUAAGUUCCCCACCUGGGGAGUACGGCCGCAAGGCUAAAACUCAAAGGAAUUGACGGGGGCCCGCACAAGCGGCGGAGCAUGCGGAUUAAUUCGACGCAACGCGAAGAACCUUACCAAGGCUUGACAUAUACCGGAAACGGUUGGAAACAGUCGCCCCGCAAGGUCGGUAUACAGGUGGUGCAUGGUUGUCGUCAGCUCGUGUCGUGAGAUGUUGGGUUAAGUCCCGCAACGAGCGCAACCCUCGUCCUAUGUUGCCAGCACGUAAUGGUGGGAACUCAUGGGAUACUGCCGGGGUCAACUCGGAGGAAGGUGGGGAUGACGUCAAAUCAUCAUGCCCCUUAUGUCUUGGGCUUCACGCAUGCUACAAUGGCCGGUACAAAGGGCUGCGAUACCGCAAGGUGGAGCGAAUCCCAAAAAGCCGGUCUCAGUUCGGAUUGAGGUCUGCAACUCGACCUCAUGAAGUCGGAGUCGCUAGUAAUCGCAGAUCAGCAACGCUGCGGUGAAUACGUUCCCGGGCCUUGUACACACCGCCAUCCAUAUG